rnacentral:misc_RNA from 1 species
GCUUCUUGGAUAUAUAGACAUAAGAAGAGGAAAUAUUGUGUUUAUUUCUUCAAUGAGACCAUCAGUGGUGGGACACCGAUCCGCAUACGUACAUACAAAACAUACAUACAGUCACUCACACAGAAAAACAAGCCGUAGAUGUUUAGAUCGAAAAUGGCCAAAGAUAACGAAAUUAUUAUCCAAGUAAACUUACUAAAUGCUAAACCAGAAGGGAAGAGAAAUGUCAAUGAAGUUGUUACAGAGAUAUGUCCCCAGAAAGGUGUGAAUCCCGGAUUUUGUGAAGAUGAUGAAUGCACAAAUCGAGAAUCCGAUCAACCUGUAAGGGCAGUGGAGUGUACACCGGAGGGUCAUACGUCAAGCAAAUGUUCCUCUUUCAUGAAACAUCUAUCUUAUGUUUUUAUACUAUACAACAACGUGUUGGGCUUUGGCUUUGCCUACUCUCUCGGCAUCUUAUAUAUCUACUUCAUCAGAGAAUUCAACACUACAAAAUCUGAAACAGCCAUGAUAACAUCUGCAUGUACUGGAACUUUGGGUUGUGGAGGAAUAUUCGCAGGAAUGUUAUACAGAAAAAUUGGUGUCAGGCGGUCGUUUAUCGUUGCCAGUGCUUUGUGUUCGAUUGGUUUGUUUGCAAGUAGCUUCACACCAAACAUUUGGUUCCUGUUUUUCUCACUUGGAAUCUUAUUUGGUUCUGGAGCAGCCAUCAACAAUAUCGUCAGUUUUGCAGCCCUGGAGAAAUUAUUCCACAAAAAUGUUCAAAUUCUAUCCAUUAUAUUGACAUUAUGUGCGCCAUUUGGAAUUUUAUGUGUACCGUAUUUAGUGAAUUUUUUAUUAAAUAUCUACUCUUGGAGAGGAGCUUUGUUGAUUAUUUCUGGAUUCUGUUUGAACAUGUGUUUUUCAGGAUUAUUAUCAAAAGUUGACAGAAAACCAAAAUCUGAUGCCAAGGUUGAACGACUAAAAAUAUUCGAUAUGAAAAUAUUGAAAAACAAACGUUUUUGAUAUUAUCAACUGGUGCAUCAAUAAAUACAUGUUGUGGUUCCCUUCUUCUGCUCCUUAUUGUAGAUUUUUGGGUUGAAAAGGGCCAUACAAUGUUAGAGGGCAUUACACUAAUUACUUUUAUAAGUAUUUCGAGUUUGGCAAGCAGAUUCGUCUUUUGCUUCUUCAGCCUCUUCUACGACAUAAGGCCAAUACUCAUUCUCACAUUUUACAUUUUUUGUGCUGCCAGUGGAACGGUCUUCAUUUUCGCUCCUUUAUGCAACACUUAUACUUCAUUAGUCUUCUUGGUUGUCUUGAAUGGAUUUUGUCGCGGCUUGUACUCCACAUUACGUCCCCUGGUCUUCAAAAAAGUCGUUGGUGUUGAAGCCUACCCACUAGCGAUUGGUUAUACUUACACUGUAAAUGGUAUAUGUGCAAUACCAUUGGCAACUCUUGUAGGUAAAAUCACAGACCUCACAGAAAGUUAUGACUUUGCUUUUUAUCUCACUGGAUUAUUCGAAAUUCUUAUGGUUUUGUUAUUAGGAUCUACAUACAUACUUAUUACUUGUUUGAGAAAAAAGAAUCAUACAUUUAAACCUGAGAAUUAGUCAGAAGAAAUGAAGCCACAUCCUCAAAAUGGCAGCACAGGAUUCUACAAUUCAUAAGAAAGUUCUCAGUUGUAUACACGGAAUAUAUAUUAAGCAAUAUAUCUUACUAUAUUCAGUUUUGAAGUUCUUGUAUUCUGGAUUGGAAAAGCCACUUCUCUACACAACAAAGGAACUCUCUAUGUGGUCUCUCAAUUUGACUUUGACAUCUUAAGAAUGGUUGAAUAUAGUACAUAAUUCACUGGAUAAUAUGCUAAAGGAGGAAGCAGUUACAGUUAAAAAAUCGUGGGACAAUAAAUAAAGAUUUAUUACAGAGACCUAUAUCAAGAAAAUAAAUACAGCAAACACACUAGAUGGUUAAAAAAUCUUGGAAGCUGAAAUUCUAGUCAAUGAAAUAAACAUGACAUUUCAAAGAUGACAGUACCAAAAUGAACUUAGUGAUAUCUAAACUGGAAACACAAACAUCAAAACCUCACUUACCGAAAACCUCACAUCUCAAAAAUCCUUCCCACAUCUGAAGACCUAUGAAUUCAGAUAACAAAUCUAAACGCAACCACUUGACACAUAAAAUGCAUAUCAAGAAAAAUAACCAAUACACACACAUAAACAUAGAAUUAUAACCAACCUGCAAUACAGCAUUAACGGUCUAAAAAUCACUUUUAUGUAACUAAAAGAAACUUCAUAAUCACUGAUAUCAUUCACUGUCUUGAAACAGACUUUAACGUUUUUAUGUAGGUGCUUAUCCCGACUCAUUAGACCAGGACUUAUCCCCUUUUCUGCAGUGUUAAACAAACUAAAUAACAAGACCCUUCUCUGGAUAGGACACCAGUCCAUUGUAAAGUUAACUCCAGCAACUGCAUAUAAUAAUUUUAAGCUGUAUAUACUGGAGUAAUCUGUAUAUCUAUAAAAGGCAGGAUGUGUGUGUGAAUGUAAUUUAUGCAUGUCCACAAAUUAGCAUGCAUGUAUCUCCAAUUUUAGGAGGACAUUCAUCACGACCUUAGCUUGAUUUUUGUCAACUUACUUUUCCCGAGGCACCCGCGGAUAGCGGUAAAAAUCGAUUUUCACCUAUAACUUUUACCAAUUUUGAAGUUUGCUAACAUGAGUUAAGUCCCCUUUUUGCCAUAAGGAAUUGAAAGUGUGUGAGGGUGAGAGAGAAGUUGUGUAUUGAUGUGUGUGUGUGUGUGUGAGAGAGAGAGGAGUUUAACAGCGUCUAACAAAACAAAAAAUGUAAAGAGAAAGUGUGUGUGAGGGGAAGAGAGAGAGUUUGACAGUGUCUAACAAAAAUGUAGAGAAAGUGUGUGUGUGAGGGAGAGAGAGAGUUUAACAGCAUUUAACAAACAGAAAGUGUGUGUGAGGAAGAGUGUAAUAGCGUUCAUCAAAAAUAAAAUGUAAAAUGUUUUUUUUUUCUUA